CCUACGGGAGGCAGCAGUAGGGAAUCUUUCACAAUGGGCGAAAGCCUGAUGGAGCAACGCCGCGUGCAGGAUGAAGGCCUUCGGGUUGUAAACUGCUUUUAUAAGCGAGAAAUAUGAUGGUAACUUAUGAAUAAGGAUCGGCUAACUACGUGCCAGCAGCCGCGGUCAUACGUAGGAUCCGAGCAUUAUCCGGAGUGACUGGGUGUAAAGAGUUGCGUCGGUGGCAUAAUAAGUAGCUAGUGAAAUCUGGUGGCUCAACCAUUCAGACUAUUAGCUAAACUGUUAAGCUCGAGACCGUUAGGGGUAACUGGAAUGUCUAGUGUAGGAGUGAAAUCCGUAGAUAUUAGAAGGAACACCAAUAGCGUAGGCAGGUUGCUGGGACGGUUCUGACACUAAGGCACGAAAGCGUAGGGAGCAAACGGGAUUAGAUACCCCGGUAGUC
rnacentral:rRNA from 1 species